UAAAUUAAUUAAAGAUAUUUUAAAACAGUCUUAGCAGCUCGGGAGGCUGAGGCAGGAGGAUAGAGAGUUCAAAGCCAGCCUCAGCAAAAGUGAGGUGCUAAGCAACUCAGUAAGACCCCCUGUCUCUAAAUAUAAUACAAAAUAGGGACUGGGGAUAUGGCUUAAUGAUUGAGUGCCCUGAGUUCAAUCCUUGGUACCCGCCCCCCCCCCAAAAAAAAAGCAUGGGGCUCUGUGAAGUGAAGGAAUUAAUUUACAUCAAAUUCAUAGUGGGUCUCCUCAACCAACUGUAAUAGCCAUGACAGUAACAAUAACAAAAUGCGAAUGAGGGCUGGGGCUGGGGCUCCAGCGGUAGAGUGCUCACCUAGCAUGUGUGAGGCCCUGGGUUCAAUCCUCAGCACCACAUGAAAAUAAAUAAAUAAAAUAAAGGUAUAAAAAAAGAAAAGAAAAUGUGAAUGUGCCCAGCAUUAAUGUCAGAUAGGUGGUGAGCUCAAAUGCAUACAACACACAUCACCUAAAUCAAUAUUCAGCUUCAAUUUCCACCUCACCAAAUGGAUUUGGGACCUGGAAAGGCAGCAUUUGGGCUGACAUUAUCUCUUUCCAAUUAAUGCUCACUGUGAUGACUCUUUAGGACCAAAAGGUAACUUUAAUAGAGUGAAGUAGCUGUUAAAAAUGUGCUCAGUGCUAUCCUGGACAGUGUUAAUAGUUGUCCUGGAUCAGGGAAGCAAUAGUUCACUUUUCUGGUUACACUUAGAAUGUCCUAACAGGGUGUGGAGGCAAUGUGGACACAUACUCCAGGGGAAGGUGACCCUGCAGCACAGGAGGCUCUGAAAACUGUCUAGCAAGGAAUAUUCACAGAAACUAGGGACAUUCGAUCUGAGAUGAAAAAUCCAAAGGGUUUUUUUUGUCAUUUCAGGAGAAAAAAAUGGGAGUUUUCCAACCCUGGAAUAGAUGGUCUUGCAGCAAACUGGGCUCCCAGAUUCUGGAGGAUGCAACUUGUGUCUUGGCAGCCCCAGUCAAAGCUCAUGAAAGAGGAACUCUCAAACCAGGAGGAAAGGGCUUGAAUGCCUCUAUGUUCCUUCAAAAUCUAAAUUUUGUGAUUCUGUAUAUGUGUUUCUAAAGUCUGACAUAAAACCAGGAUCUACUAAACUAUUGAGGGACAUUAGCGAGAGGGAUAUUAUGGUGCUUAGUUGUUUGCAAUUCUUUCAAUCUUUUCAUCUGAACUUUGUGACCAUCUGUUUGGCCAUUCUAAUAUUAGUAAAGAUGUCUAAUUAGCCAUAAUAGGGUUCAUGGUCUCCAGCCAAUGCCACUCUCCUAAAAAAGUACCGGUGGCAAGAGAAGGGUUAAGAUGUUCAGCCAUCCUGUGAUCCUGGGCAUUUGGGCUUCUAGAUCAAUUCCCUCUCCCCAUCACUCACCUAUACACAUACAUAUAAUUAAAAAAGAAUUCAAGGGCAUGUUCUUACACCAAACCUUAUCUGAAGAUUGGACUCUGAAUACAGAAAAAAAAAAAAAAAAAGCAAAGAAAAAGGGAAGGAGACCCAUGCUUUGCGUAUAACUCCCAUGCUGUGAUUUCCCCCUGUGCACACUAAUUUGUAUACCUUUUUCCAUAUUUUAAAAAAAGGUGCAUUUUUGAGCUCUGACAGCUGUUCUUAACCCUGGUAUACAUAUCAUAAUCAUGCAAGUUGCUUUUGUAAGAUCCUCAUGCCUCAGCCACAUCCUAGACCAAUUAAACCUGGGACCUGGGCAUCAAUGUUUUUUAGAGCUUCCCUAGUGGCUCUAAUGGGCAGACUGAACUGAGAUCCCCUGGUAGAAGAAGACCUAGACAUUUGUUUGUUUCAUGAAUUAAUAUGAUUAUGCUAAUUAAUCUUAAAUACACAUCACAUUUCUCUCAGAAACAAGCACAGAAAUUUCUCUACUGAUAAAUGUUCAAUUCACAAACUUCCAUAGUUUGAUUAUGAAACUCUGAAUAUUCCUUGUUGAUAACUGAGCACUUGAAUGCUUUACACACUCCAUAGUUGAUUCUUUCAGUCAAGACUGAGAGACAUUGUUAUAAGUGUUCAAUAAACAUUUAGAAGAAUGGGUGUAGGUGAUUGGAUGUGGCACAGUGGGAGUUCUUUAUUUAAAAGGUUCAUGGACCUUUAUUUUUUAUUUUUCUUUUAAUAUUUUAUUAGCUAUAGAUGCAACCCCAGCACAGUGGGGAUUCUUUUUUUUUUUUUUAGUUGUAGAUGGACACAAUACCUUUAUUUUAUUUAUUUAUUUUUAUGUGGUACUGAGGAUCGAACCCCAUGCCUCGCAUAUGCUAGGAAAGUACUCUACCUGAGCUACAACCCCAGUACCAGUUGGGGUUCUUAACCUAGGUAAUAUUGAUAUUUUAAGUCACUUAAUUGUUGUUGGGGCUGUCCAGUAUAAUGUAGGACACUUAACAGUUCUUCUGACCUUUAUCUCAAAGAUGCCAGUAACAUCCCCCAUUAUGAUACCCUAACAGUGUCUCCAGACAUUUUUAUAUGGCCCCUGGGUGCUAUAAGUGCCCCAUGGUUGAGAACCCCUUGAGUAGAUUAAUGAAUGGGUACACAGAUGAAUGAAUGCAUGCAUGCAUGCAUGCAUGCAUGGAUAGAUACAUGGAUGGAUGGGUGAAUGAAAGGGUAGAUGGAUGAAUGAUCAGGACUCAUAAACCUAAAUGCAUGUCUUUGUUUUUGAAGGUUUGACUCCGAAAACAUUCUUUCCUCUUUGUCCAUAAAGUACCAUAGGAAAGCAAAUAUUUGGCACAUCAAGUAAUUGGAAGAAUACCAAAGGACUGAAUUUGAAGUUUCAGACAUUGAUAUCAUUUGCCAAUGUAAAACUAAAUUCUAAAGCUGAUCCAGGAAAAGACUUGUUAAAUAUAGCUGACCUAAAAUAAAACUGUUUAUGAGGGAAAAGUGAACAUGGUAAACUGUUCUGUCUAAAAAUUAACAAAUAAAAUCUUUAUCACAACACCAAGAUAUAAUAAAAUUAUGACCUGAGAUAAUGAAUUUUUUUAAGUGGUAGGGAUCAAAUCCAGGAUCUUGUGCAUGCUAGGUAAGUGCUCUCUAUCACUGAGCUCACUCCCAGCCCUUUUUUUAUUUUGAAAUAGGGUCUCAUUAAACUGUCCAGUCUGACCUCAGUAUUCUCAGUAGCUAGAGUUAUAGGCAUGCACUGAGGCUAGCAAAAAACUAG
rnacentral:lncRNA from 1 species